GUAAAUUCAUUAUUAUUAAAUUAUUAUAAGUUAUAGUCUUUAAAAUUAAAAAAUUUGGCGGUAUUUUAGUCUUUUCAGAGGAACCUGUUCUAUAAUUGAUAAUCCACGAUUAGAAUUACUUAUUUUAAUAAUUUGUAUAUCGUUGUAAUUGAAUAUUUUAAGAGAAUAUUAAAUGUUCAAAAUUUUUAAAUAAAAAAUAAAUCAAAUCAAGGUGCAGUUUAUAAAUGAGAAGAAAUGGGUUACAAUAAAUAUAUUUUUGGUUUUUUAAUUUAAAUAUUAAGGAUAAAUUGGAUUUGAAAGUAAUUUAAUUAAUUUAAAUUAAAUGAUUUUAGCUCUAAAAUAUGC
rnacentral:rRNA from 1 species